CCCCAGAGCCCUUGACCCCCCCAGAGACGGGGGAGGUGCUGUACAGCGAUGUUGUGAGCACCAAGAAGGCAGGUGGGGCCUCCCGAGCCACAUCCCCUCAGGUGACCUACGCAGAGCUGCCAGGACCCCACAGGAGACAGUGGGACCCCAGUGUCAUCUGUGAGAAUGUGCUGUGACACUGGGGGCACAGGGGGCACUGGGGUCCCUGCCUGAGGGCACCCCCAGCUCCCAUGGGUGCCCACUGUGGCCAGGGGGUGGCCAUGAGUAAGGGCUCCCACGUGGGGCUGCCCAGGGCUCCACAAUCCAGUGCUCCCAGAGCUCCCAUUACCCCCAGGGCUCCCCAUUCCCUCCCCCCGUGCCAGGGGGCACAGAACCCUUGUCCCUCUUACUGUACCCAAAACACAGCUUUUUGAUUAAACCAGGAGAAAUGGUUUUUUUUUGUUCACCUCUGCCGUGUUCGGCUCAGGAAGGAGGAGGGUCCCAGUAGGUGGUUGAACCGAUCCUUCUCAGUUCUCAAGAUUCAGAAUCCAAAGGGGCAUAAAAGGAAUAAUUUCUAGGGAAAGCUCCCAACAAGGAGCAAACCCCAGAAGCUGCCUCUGGCAUGUUUCCUCCACCAGGAAGAACAUGGCAGGUCCCAGACCUUCCUUGCUCUGAUGGCCAAAUCAGCCUUCCGGAGGCUCUGGAUUUUCUCCCCUGUCUCAAACCCCUCCUCUGCCGUGUUCCCCACUGUGGAGAGCUAGUUACAUGACAAAGGCCACGUAGACAUGCUCUGGAUAGCUGAGAAUUGGAAAAGUACUGGACCCAGCUAAUCUGAGUCCCUGCACCUGCAAGGCCACUGUGACCUUGAGUAUAGCUGUAUUAUGAUAACAAGAUGCUGUAGCUAAGAAAGAGACGUAAGAAAAAGGAGGUGUAAGUUGUAAGGAAUGAGGAAGUAAGAAUAACCAAUAGAUUGCUUAGCUUACAGAAUAUGCAUGAGCUUAUUACUUGUUGUGCUUAAAUGUCUGAUGCUCUAAUCAAAUAAACGAAGCUUGUUGAACUCUCA